UUUCUGUCAAAGAAAACGCGAAGAAAUUGAAUUUGUAAGAACUUGCGCAUAUUAGCCUGCUGCAAUAGGCAGAGCUGUAGCCACAUGGCGAACAUCUGGGGAGCGCCUACAGGUUGUCAUUUAUGCUAGUCGGCUGCUGACUGCGAAACCUUGGGACAUGCUCUGCCCAAGAGCCAUCCUGUCGGUGCUGUUGGCCCAGUUUUUGGAAACAUUCGAAGGAUGGGUAUACACGCAUGUUGUUCCCCUUACUAGCGAUGGAAGGUGCAUUUACCAUGGGAUACGAAUUGACAAGGGACCAGAAGUAAGCUUCCAUUCUCCUUGCGAACGCUGGGACUGCAGGUAUUAUGACAUCAAUCAUGGCUUCUUACAACGAGAAACCUGCAUCGUUGAACCGCCGAAGCCGUAUCCCUGCCGAGUGAGAAAGGGCAAGGGCAGGUACCCAUGGUGUUGCCCACGUAAUAUCUGCGAAGGAGUGCCUGAGAAUGACAGCGCAUACGACUGAAAGUGUCAACAACGAGCCCUUCGUAAGCGGCGCUUUAACUGGCAGCGUGACAGGGAAAGAAAAACAAGGAAAUAAGACCAGAAAAUAAAAUAAAGCGUAGCAUCUCUUAACAUACAAU
rnacentral:lncRNA from 1 species